GCGAAAGUGGCGGAAUUGGUAGACGCGCUGGUUUCAGGAGCCAGUGGUUCACAGCCGUGGGGGUUCGAGUCCCCCCUUUCGCACCA
rnacentral:tRNA from 1 species